rnacentral:lncRNA from 10 species
UGUUCCUGAUGGCCACAUUCCCCUGAUGCAUUACAUACUUGCAGCAAGCACCGUGUAAAUACAAACAGAAAUGACUCAGAACUUCAGUUGAUCGUUUUAAAGCUGCAGAUAGCCUGUAAGUAGCAGGGAAAUGCGCCACUUAAGCUUCAUUAACCCUGAUGACAGUAUGGGAGGCUGACCACAAACACACAAAAAGCUAUCGACCACCCUUGCCCAGGAAGAUGUCUGGAAACCAUGUGCCUAGAGAUGGGCAAGAGGGCAGUGUCCCAGCUGGCUGAGUCGGUGACCAGAUUUCAUUGUCUUUGGAAAGGAGUCAAGCUCCAACUCCACAGAAAAAUAACAGGGAGAUCAACUCAGAGGAAAUAACAGUGAAAAUCAGUGAGGACCAGAGUUUAUCUCCUACCCACUCUCUUUAAUUGCUGGACAGAAUCUGCUGCUUUUAAUAUAAGCUUCCCGGGGAAAGAAGGAAAGGGCCAAAGGCCCUGCUUGGCUGUACUCAGGAUCAGCUUGAAAACCAACCUCAUUUUCAGCAACCGGCUUCUCCCUGGUUGCAUGAACAUUUUGUUCGACACGACUCUCCUUCUUUCAUUUUCCUAAAGCAGCAGUUGCCAACCUUGGCUGCACAUUAAAAAUCACCUGGGAGAUCUUUUACAAUACUAAUGCCACUUUUAGAGCUUUAUAUUUAAUGGGUCUGCUGUGUGAACUGGCCCUCGAGAUUAUCUAAAUUUCCCUAGGUGACUCUAAUACGCAGCCAGUUGAGAGCUACUGUCCUGAAGCAUUGUUAACAGGACAUUUUUGUAUAUUUAGGGUUGCAAAGGCAUAAUUAUGGCAGAAGGUGAAAAACAACUUCAAAAUCAAUUUUAAAUAUUUGUGUCCUUAAAAAAUCCCUCUGGGCAUAGUGUCUCAUGCCUAUAAUCCCAGCAGUUUGGGAGGCCAAGAUGGGAGGAUCACGUGAGCCCAGGAGUUCAAGACCAGCCUGGGCAACAUAAUGAGACCCCUGUCACUAAAAAAAUUUAAAAAUGAUAAUAUAAAUAAAUAAAUAAAAAUCCCGUAGUCAGUCCUCUCCUUUGAGAAAGUCUUCCUAAAGAGAGAUUAACAGCAGCUGCAGCUUAAUUUUAUCCCCAUGGGACGCUCUCCUCCCCUCAAGGUCAUUUUCCUCCCCUCUCUGUCCUCCUGCCCCCAACUCUAGCAUUUCUGAUAUAUAAAACUCUGUCAUAAUACAGUAAGUAGUGCCCCAAAAACUGCAGGAGCAAAUCAUUCUGAGGUCAAUGAAAUGACCCACAUGAACCUCUGUAGUUGGCCAGCCAGGAACCUGAAAAACAGGCUGUGUCAUCCAAAAUACAUUCCAUCUGGUGGUAGUUUAACUGUCCAGCUAAAACAUCAAUAGGAACAUUCUGGAUGCUCUGGCCUGCUAGGAAUUCCGGUACUACAGCAGGGAUUCCGGGGUCUCUGGGUAGCUGGUAACCCUUCCUUCCACCAGCUCUGGAGAAAGUGGACAGGAGAGCACAGGGAAACCUCUGCCUCCCAACAUCCCACAAUGAGGAGCCUCCAUUCCCUGAUCUUUUGUCUGUGCUCCAGUUCCCUACUCCCCUACUUCCCUACCCACCACUUCACCCCCACCCCCUUGCAGAAGAGAGCUUUUGGUGAGCCUAAACAAAACUGAGGGGCAAGCCUGCAUACCUCAGACACAUUAUCCCUAUUCAACUUCACAAAAACUCCAUGAAGAAGGCUCUGUUCGUAUCCUAUUUCUCAAAAUACAAAAAACUUAAGUAACGUGCCCAGUGUUUUAGCUGGUAACCUGGAAUUAAACCAAAUUAAUUCCAGACACUUCUUCAUAAUAAAAGGGUUUCAGGCUUAUGGCCAUCUAGAUCAGGGACACUAAAGCUUUUGGAUGGCAUAUUCCAUAGGACAAUUUGGAGGAACUACCUCUACAUUGUAAAACUGACAUCCACUUAAUAGAAGAAGCAUUUGACAAAAUGUAAUAUUCGUUCAUGAUUAAAAAAAAACUCUCAACAAAAAAGUAUAGAAGGAACUUAACACAAUAUAGACAAUAUAUGAAAGGCCCACAGCUAACAUCAUAAUCAAUGAGGAAAAGCUGAUAGAUUUUCCACUAAGAUGUGGUAUAAGGAUACCCACUCUUACCACUUUUGUUUUCUUUUUUUCCAUUCACAUGAAUGUUCAUAGCAGCUUUGGUGGUAAUAGCCAAAAAUUAGAAGCAAUGCAAAUGUCCAUCAGUAUGUGGCAUAUUAAUACAAUGGCAUUACUCAGCAAUAAAAAGGAGCAAACUACUUGUACACUCAAGUGAAUGAAUGAAUCUCAAAACCAAAGAAGC